AAAUUGAAGAGUUUGAUCAUGGCUCAGAUUGAACGCUGGCGGCAGGCCUAACACAUGCAAGUCGAACGGUAACAGNAAGCAGCUUGCUGCUUUGCUGACGAGUGGCGGACGGGUGAGUAAUGUCUGGGAAACUGCCUGAUGGAGGGGGAUAACUACUGGAAACGGUAGCUAAUACCGCAUAACGUCGCAAGACCAAAGAGGGGGACCUUCGGGCCUCUUGCCAUCGGAUGUGCCCAGAUGGGAUUAGCUUGUUGGUGGGGUAACGGCUCACCAAGGCGACGAUCCCUAGCUGGUCUGAGAGGAUGACCAGCCACACUGGAACUGAGACACGGUCCAGACUCCUACGGGAGGCAGCAGUGGGGAAUAUUGCACAAUGGGCGCAAGCCUGAUGCAGCCAUGCCGCGUGUAUGAAGAAGGCCUUCGGGUUGUAAAGUACUUUCAGCGGGGAGGAAGGGAGUAAAGUUAAUACCUUUGCUCAUUGACGUUACCCGCAGAAGAAGCACCGGCUAACUCCGUGCCAGCAGCCGCGGUAAUACGGAGGGUGCAAGCGUUAAUCGGAAUUACUGGGCGUAAAGCGCACGCAGGCGGUUUGUUAAGUCAGAUGUGAAAUCCCCGGGCUCAACCUGGGAACUGCAUCUGAUACUGGCAAGCUUGAGUCUCGUAGAGGGGGGUAGAAUUCCAGGUGUAGCGGUGAAAUGCGUAGAGAUCUGGAGGAAUACCGGUGGCGAAGGCGGCCCCCUGGACGAAGACUGACGCUCAGGUGCGAAAGCGUGGGGAGCAAACAGGAUUAGAUACCCUGGUAGUCCACGCCGUAAACGAUGUCGACUUGGAGGUUGUGCCCUUGAGGCGUGGCUUCCGGAGCUAACGCGUUAAGUCGACCGCCUGGGGAGUACGGCCGCAAGGUUAAAACUCAAAUGAAUUGACGGGGGCCCGCACAAGCGGUGGAGCAUGUGGUUUAAUUCGAUGCAACGCGAAGAACCUUACCUGGUCUUGACAUCCACAGAACCUUGUAGAGAUACGAGGGUGCCUUCGGGAACUGUGAGACAGGUGCUGCAUGGCUGUCGUCAGCUCGUGUUGUGAAAUGUUGGGUUAAGUCCCGCAACGAGCGCAACCCUUAUCCUUUGUUGCCAGCGGUCCGGCCGGGAACUCAAAGGAGACUGCCAGUGAUAAACUGGAGGAAGGUGGGGAUGACGUCAAGUCAUCAUGGCCCUUACGACCAGGGCUACACACGUGCUACAAUGGCGCAUACAAAGAGAAGCGACCUCGCGAGAGCAAGCGGACCUCAUAAAGUGCGUCGUAGUCCGGAUUGGAGUCUGCAACUCGACUCCAUGAAGUCGGAAUCGCUAGUAAUCGUGGAUCAGAAUGCCACGGUGAAUACGUUCCCGGGCCUUGUACACACCGCCCGUCACACCAUGGGAGUGGGUUGCAAAAGAAGUAGGUAGCUUAACCUUCGGGAGGGCGCUUACCACUUUGUGAUUCAUGACUGGGGUGAAGUCGUAACAAGGUAACCGUAGGGGAACCUGCGGUUGGAUCACCUCCUUA
rnacentral:rRNA from 1 species